rnacentral:rRNA from 1 species
CGUAACAAGGUCUCCGUUGGUGAACCAGCGGAGGGAUCAUUACCGAGUUUACAACUCCCAAACCCCUGUGAACAUACCACUUGUUGCCUCGGCGGAUCAGCCCGCUCCCGGUAAAACGGGACGGCCCGCCAGAGGACCCCUAAACUCUGUUUCUAUAUGUAACUUCUGAGUAAAACCAUAAAUAAAUCAAAACUUUCAACAACGGAUCUCUUGGUUCUGGCAUCGAUGAAGAACGCAGCAAAAUGCGAUAAGUAAUGUGAAUUGCAGAAUUCAGUGAAUCAUCGAAUCUUUGAACGCACAUUGCGCCUGCCAGUAUUCUGGCGGGCAUGCCUGUUCGAGCGUCAUUUCAACCCUCAAGCACAGCUUGGUGUUGGGACUCGCGUUAAUUCGCGUUCCCCAAAUUGAUUGGCGGUCACGUCGAGCUUCCAUAGCGUAGUAGUAAAACCCUCGUUACUGGUAAUCGUCGCGGCCACGCCGUUAAACCCCAACUUCUGAAUGUUGACCUCGGAUCAGGUAGGAAUACCCGCUGAACUUAUGCAUAUCAAU